rnacentral:lncRNA from 1 species
GACACACCAACUUCUCUUGUUGGUUCCCUCAACCCUGCCCAUACCUGUGGGUAAUCAGAGAUGGAUUCAGUCUCCAGUUAGGAUCCUGAUCAAGGUAUUUUUAUGGGGGAUUCCAUGCAGAUGGUGUAUAGAGAGAAGAUAGACACAAGGGAUCUUCAUAGCCAAGGACUGGAUUUGAACAAGUCAGUCUCCAGCUAUGUUUUAGAGACUGAGGACUGUGCCCGUCAUCCCUUAGAGCUUCUCUCUGGGCCACUGGCUUGAAGCGCACAUCUCAGGGAAAAAGAACCCAGAAUUCACAACGGAACAUCAACAUAUCCAAAAGACAAGUUUCAAUGAACAGAUUCUCAGCAAAAGGACUCUAAGGAUGCAGAGGAAGGGAAGUCGCCCAAUCUGGGAAGGAGAUCACAGUUAUUGAAGCAGGAUACUUCCCUGACCGCUUCGUGGGACUCAU